AUGACGGUUGGGGGAGAGUGCGAAAGCCGCCGACGGAGCAAGUUUCAAAAGCCUUGAAACGAAUCUCUCAGGUAAAAGGGACCCCAAUCAGACG
rnacentral:ncRNA from 2 species